GGGCCCGCACAAGCGGUGGAGUAUGUGGUUUAAUUCGAUGCAACGCGAAGAACCUUACCAGGGUUUGACAUCCUGCGAAUCUCUUGGAAACGAGAGAGUGCCUUCGGGAGCGCAGUGACAGGUGGUGCAUGGCUGUCGUCAGCUCGUGUCGUGAGAUGUUGGGUUAAGUCCCGCAACGAGCGCAACCCACGUCUUUAGUUGCCAGCAGUUCGGCUGGGCACUCUAUGGAAACUGCCCGUGAUAAGCGGGAGGAAGGUGUGGAUGACGUCAAGUCCUCAUGGCCCUUACAUCCUGGGCUACACACGUACUACAAUGCUACGGACAAAGGGCUGCAAGUUCGCGAGGACAAGCAAAUCCCAUAAACCGUGGCUCAGUUCAGAUCGUAGGCUGCAACUCGCCUACGUGAAGGCGGAAUCGCUAGUAAUCGC
rnacentral:rRNA from 1 species